UACGUAGGGCGCAAGCGUUAUCCGGAAUUAUUGGCGUAAAGAGCUCGUAGGCGGUUUGUCGCGUCUGCCGUGAAAGUCCGGGGCUCAACUCCGGAUCUGCGGUGGGUACGGGCAGACUAGAGUGAUGUAGGGGAGACUGGAAUUCCUGGUGUAGCGGUGAAAUGCGCAGAUAUCAGGAGGAACACCGGUGGCGAAGGCGGCUCGCUGGGCCAGCAUCUGACACUCAGCCGCGAAAGCGUGGGGAGCAAACAGG
rnacentral:rRNA from 1 species